AUCCUUAACCCACUGAGCAAGGCCAGGGAUCAGGCCCACAUCUACACAGAGACAACAUCAGGUCCUUAACCUGCUGAGCCACAAUAGGAACUUCAAGAGCUCAUCUUUUAAACUUACAAAUUAAUAAGAAAAUGGUGAAGAUCCCAGUACACAGAAGAUAUGGGGAGAUCACAAAACACCCUAGCUUGGUGAAUGAAGUUCAAUUCCUAGAAGAACCACAGAAGGAAGGUUCCAGGAGACGCAGACAUGGACAUCUUUUGGAGGCCAUUAUUCUGCCAACCACAACAUGGAAAGAGUAGAAGGUAGAACCUUUUUAAGAAGCUGGGAUAUAAUUGUUACUAUUUUUCGAUAAGAAGACGAUACUAUGGCCUAUCAGGAGUAUGGUGAUAUAUACAUUUUUUGCUCUUUCUAAAUUUUUCUGUCAUCAGUAUUAUCUUUAAGAAAAAUAAUGGGUCAGAAAAUUGGAUUGAUAUGAUGAUCACCUGUGAGGUACUACAGUUAAUAGUAUGUUAGAGUUCUAGUGGCAGUUUCUGUUAAUGAACAUUUUUUUAAAAGAAAGAAAAAUAAUAAACCUUGCAUUUAAAACAGUAACAAUAUUAAGUAUGUAUAUAUAAAUAAGAAACUUCACUGAGAAAAAUAAUAUUUGAAAAAGAUACGCAUACUAAGUCUUGAAAUUCAGUUGUUUCAGAAUUCAUUUAGAAGUUAAUGUUAUUUUUUAUAAAGUUACAAUGGGAAGCAUUUUUAUUUUCAUUUGGAAUUUAACCACAUUUUAACAAAACGCAUUUGGUAAACAAUCUAAACAACUUAAGACUAUUUUGAAAAAAGAUGAGAUGGUGGGAAAGGAUUUUUCCCAUCGGCUAUAAAUGACAUGCUUUGAAACUGCAACUCAUAAAACUGAAGUAGAUAUAUCAGAAAUAGGUCAUACCUAGAGCACUAUUCUGAAUCAAAUACUACUGGUAUAUGUAAAACAUGGUACCUGUUUGCAGAAGGAAGGCAAAUAAAUGUUUGUAUUGGGUAUUUGCCAAGGAGAUCCAAGGUUUGAUAGGGAAGAGAAACCUCAGAGUUCAUUGAACUUGUUAAAAAUUAAACACGAUGGAAAUUUACUCCUUCUUAGCCAAACUGUUAUGCCUUUUAGAAAAGUUAAUUUCUCAUCAUUGAAAGACAUUUUUAUUAUUGAAAGUUGUCAGCUUUAGAAGUCGUGAAACUUCACUCAGAUACUUAUCUCACUAUGUCUCAAAGGAUUUUGAUUUUUUUUAAAGAUGUUUUUUCUAGUGUUCCCACUGUGGCACAACAGGAUCAGCAGCAUCUUGGGACCACUGGGACACAGGUUCGAUCCCCAGCCUGGCACAGUGGGUUGCAGAUCUGGAGUUGUCACAGCUGUGCCUUAGGUCACAACUGUGGUUCAGAUCUGAUCCUUGGCCUAAGAACUCCAUAUGCCAGGGGGCGGACAAAAAAGAAAAAAAUAAAAGAUAUAUUUUUUUUCUGAAAUUUUUUAUACCGCCAAAACUACAUCUAGCAUUUGGAAAAUCUUAUUUUAAAACUCCGUAUAUCCAAGAAACUCAUUCAAACUCUCCAACUUUUAUUUAACAUCUAUUAAAUCUCAACCAGCCAGUCUACCACAGUCAAAUAGGUGAUUUGACAAAAUCACAUUUACUGACUUGCAAGCUUGGGUGCACUCUCCAGAAGAACCUCGGAUAGCAUUUUACAUAGGGCAGAAGGGUGCCAUCUUUUUAAGAUUUAGGUUCCUACUGAAGGAUUCUGAGGAAGCUUGCAAGAAAGGAAGACCAGUUCUGGGUUGGAUGCUUUUUCUGCAGCAGGAUUAGGAGAAGCAGGGAUUACCUAGGGACUGGGUGCUAUCAUGAGGUAAGAAUGGUACAGUAAUUGAGUAUCCCAGUUAAUAGAUGGGUGAGGAUAGUAAGGCAGGUCUGGAAGCAUUAUUAGUAACAAAGCAGUGGUCAUAUAAAGAGGGGUCAUGAUGGCAUUCUAUAGCUAUUUGACAUUGGAGGAAUUAAUGUUUUCCUUCAACUUUUCAGUUGGCUUUAUCUGUGUCUGUCUUCCCAACCAAAUUGAAGGCAGGGCUACUUUUUUCUUUUUCAGCCCAAGCUGAUUUUCAGUCCUUCUUCAGUUACAGACAUAUUUUACUCUUUCACAACUACAGAAGCAACCCCAGUUUAAUUCUGUUAACAGCUUCUGAAAAUAACUAAUCUGUGAUAACCAAUUUUAUUUUAACAAUUCAACACAAAAACAGUGUGGAUUUAUGUGGUUGUUAUUCAAAAUUACGCUAUGAAGACAUGAAUUCAUGACUAGGAAAAUUCAGUGUCAGUCUGUUUUAGAGUUUGGUGUCGAGCUUCAGCAUAAAGGAGAGAGAAAAUAAAACCACUGGAGACAAAUUCUAACAGUAGAUCAGAUAUGGAACCAGGCCAUGGGUGGGUGAGGGAGAGGAGAAAUCCUCUAAAAGUGUGAACAACUGAGCACAUAAUACCAUAUUCUUCUUUCAUUAUCUUCUUUACAUAGCUUUUUGCAGCCCAACACUGAUAUUCCAGUCACCAUUUUCCAAAUGCUUCCCCUCAUGUCUUUCCUUCUUUUAGUCUUGAGGACCUUUGGAAAGGAGUCCUCCUAGUAAGUAGAAGACUCAGAGAAAGCAAUGAAUUCACCAGCUAUGUUCUGUGCUCCUCUCUUCCAUCCUUCCUUACCAACUUCCCCUUCCCAACCCUCUAUCCCUCCCUCUUCUUUGCUCCAAGAUACAUUCCCACUUACUCCCCUCCCAUGGGGAGAGAUCAGUUGGAAAUGAAUACAGGCAAAGAAAUAUCAAGGGUAUUCUACUACAUAAGAAAGAAAGGGUUAGAUUUGUGGAUGAAUAUCUUUGAGGGGCUGCUGAAAUUGGAACCAGGGCAAUGCGGAAUUGGCCUGUAAAAGUGUUUACAUAACUACUAGAUAAAGUCAACAUAAAACUCCUAGGUAAGGAAAAAAAACAUUAGCCCCAAGAGAAGGGUACAGAGAAUAAGAAUCUCUAUAUGUGCACAAACUGAAAUUAAGCAGCAGAAAAUUGGGAUGGGCAAGAGAGGACUCAUUAUAUUGACAAAGAAUCUUAUGAAAUGUAAAGGGAAAUUACAGAAUUGUUCUCAGAAACAUGAGCUCUUUGGAAUUUCAGCAUUUUGAAAGCAUAGUUUUGUACAAGGUUUGGUAGACAAAUGAUCCUGAAAUGUGAACUACAUCCUAAAAAAUGGAACAGAAAAAGCAGUGACAAUUUGAGUCUACAGGAGUUAUAAUGUUGUGCUAUUUAAUAUUUGUGGGGCCCUGUUGGUGUGGUGGUAAGAAGAAAGUCAUGAAAGUUGAAUUAAAUCAGUGGUAAAAGAUGUGCACCUUAACUAUAUUUUUGUUAGACAUUAUUAACAUCUGUGAUUUCUAGUAGUAACUUAAAGGGAAAUUCAUAUUUCAUAUUGUGAAAUAAGUUCUAAACACUUUUUCUAUUGAGGGAAGGGCAGAAAACAAGUAGGAUUGAUUGACAUAUUAAAAAUGAACUCGUUUAAAUACCUGGUGCAGUGGAAAUUUAGGGAUUUGUCUUUUUGAGUUUGGAUAAACACAAUUUGAAAAUGGUAUUAAGGAAAUAAGAAUGCUAUCUAAUUUGUGGCAUAUUUGUAUCUAGAUAAUAUAUUGAGCCCCUAACUGCAAAAGUUGAAACAUUCUGGUUCAAAAUAUCUAACUACAAGAUAUUUUUCUUUAACAUCCAAGAAAUGUAAUUAAAAUCAAUGACAUAUAGAAGAGUGUUAAGACAUAAAAGAAAAAAUAUUUUUAGAGACUUGAAAUGGUCAUAGCAUGAAGAAAUACUAUUUAAUUGCCAUAAAAUGCAAAUGUUUACAUUAAGUAGAAAAAAAACCUUAGGUAACCUUUUCUGACAUAGAUACCCAUACCCUUUUCUAUGGGUAUUUACAAAUGAAAUACAAAUAACCUGAUAUAUGACAAAGUGCUUGAUAAGAGUCUAUAUGAGAGUAGGCAUAUGAGACUGUGACUCACUUGACUCAGGAAAACGGUAAUAUCAUGUGAUUCAAAUUAGUAUGUAAUUUAUAGUAUUUACCCAGUGUUAACUGCAAACUGAAUAAUGUGUGAUUUUCCUUUGAGGAGGAAACAUUUUCAUUAAUGUUUAUAAUCACUCUUCCAAAGUUAAUCAUAAAGUAAAAUAAUAUAGCAUUGACUAAUUUCAUAAAGGUUGAGCGAAAAGAGAACAGAGGAGUAACUGUAGCAGGAAUAAAAUACAACACAGUUCUUCCUGAUGGCUUUGCAACACAUUAUCCCUUGUGUAUUACCAUUUUCUUGUUUGUGACAGAAGCCUUAGGUAUUCAUGAAACAUUUUACAACCACCCAAGUUGGUUGUGAGGUUAACCUCUUCAUUAGCAAGUAAUUUCUGAUAUGGAAUUUUGAUAUUAAUGAUCUCUUUGGAAAACAUGUCUCUGAAAAAUUUUGAGAAUGAAAACAUCCUGCAUAGAAAUAUCUGAAAUGAGCAGCUAUAGUGGCAUCUCGGGAAGUUUGAAAUCUUUUUGUCUAGAGUAGCCGAACAGCCUUUCAGCAGCAUGUCCCAGGGGCUGUACUGAGGAGCUGAAACUUCCCUGGAGAAUGUAAUAAGGAUAGAUUGAAUUUUUAUUUUGGCUUAGGAAGCAACAAAUGUUCCUUCUGGAGUUUCAAGAAUUCAACUUAAAAACUCAGCCAUUUCUGGAGAAUAAGUACACUUUGGCAGGAGGUAUACCUUGUAAAUAAAGCAAAAAUUUAAAAAACCCACUUUACCCUCCCUCCGCGCAUAUAUUCACUGUCAUCACAAAUACCUAGGAUAUCUUUCUUUUCUUCUUUUUAAAAAAUUCUUUUGUUUAUUUUCAUUGUGUUCAUAUCAUUAAAUGUACCACAGUGAGACUGUUUUCUCCCUGGUUUGUAAUUCCCAAACUCCAUUCUGCCACAAAAUUUGGCCGAAAAAUAGAAUCCAGGGAGUUUUCUUGUGGCUCAGAGUGUUAAGGGUCCAGCAUUGUGACUGUUGUGGCUCUAGUUGCUGCUGUGGCUCCGGUUACAAUCCCGGCCCAGAAACAUCUGUGUCAUGGCUAAAAUGAUAAAAAAUAAAAACAUAGACAUCCGGAGUUCCCGUCGUGGCGCAGUGGUUAACGAAUCCGACUAGGAACCAUGAGGUUGCGGGUUUGGUCCCUGCCCUUGCUCAGUGGGUUAACGAUCCGGCGUUGCCCUGAGCUGUGGUGUAGGUUGCAGACGCGGCUCGGAUCCCGCGUUGCUUUGGCUCUGGCGUAGGCCGGUGGCUACAGCUCCGAUUCAACCCCUAGCCUGGGAACCUCCAUAUGCCACGGGAGCGGCCCAAGAAAUAUCAACAAUAACAACAACAACAAAAAGACAAAAGACAUAAAAAAUUAUAAAACAAACAAACAAACAAACAUAGACAUCCUGUUUAAAAGAAAAAAAUAAAAGAAAUUGGACCAAACGCAUCAUUCAUAAAUAAUCACAGUGCUAAAAAUCCUUUUACGUUUGAACUGUACAUUAUAGUUUUUCAAGCACUUAGCUGUAAAACUAUCUCUUUUUACAAAAUCCUUGGAAGUGUAUGUGGCACUUUAUCUUACACCCCUUUGACGGUGAGGAAACUGAGGCCCAGAUUGGUUAGUGAUGUGUUCAAAAUUAAGAGCAAUAUUGUGAUAAGUCAGUCAGUCACCUGGUACCUAGUCUCAAGUUCAGAACAACAGGCUAUCCCACUAUGCUCCUUCUGUGCCUAGGGCCUCUAUGGCAGGGGUUUGGCUAGAAAUUCUGGGCCCUUUACUAAUGAAUUUGAAAAGAACAUGUUUACUCUGAAAAAUUUAGGGGUCAUCUGGGUGACAGAGUGAGAAGACAAUUAAGGUAUGCCUGACUCUGCCCGUCUCCCCAUAGCCUUCUGUGCAGAUCAGAGAAACACAGUCAUUGAUCUUCAACCAUCUAAAACAUUGAUUUUGAGCAAGAGGUACUUCCUACAGGCAUAGGAGAUUUAGCUGAAACAAGGACUAUAAAUACGUAUCUAGUAGCUGAGGAAAGAGCCUUGGUUAAAUUAUGUCUUUCAAUUCUGUGAUUUCUAAAUUUGUCUCUUGGGAGCCCUCCAGGUUCUAGGGCACCUCUGGCUAAACCUAUGCUCUAGGGUCCCUCUGGCUAAACUUAUGCUCUAGGGUUGUUUUUGCUGUUGCUGUCAUUUUCAAGGAAAAGAGAGGGACAUUUUCGCAGCAAUGCAUGACCCAAAAUAGCAAUUCUCAAUUCUGACAUUUAAAACAUGAACUCACACCUUGAUCUCACUCCAAAGGUUCUGGUUUAAUUGGGCCCAAGCAACAAUAUUUUUUAUAGCCCUUGAGAGAUUCUAUUAAGACCGUGGGGCUUGAGAAUCAUUGUUCCCAGAAAAUCGUAACAGACAUAUUUUAGAGGAGCUCCAGGGAAAAGAACAGAGGGCAAUACAAUACUACAGGCAUUUAAAACUUUAAAAGAACACAGAUUAAGAAAGCAUACAUACUGAGGAGAUGUCAAUUUUGAAAAGGGAUUCAGAAUUGUGAUACAUACAGGUUUUUAAUUGGAUUGACUUGAUUCUUCUAUUCUUGGAAGCUAACACUUUACAAAUUGUGCUGUGAUAAAAGGGAGCUUUGACCACAGGUAAGAGGCAUAAGAGAACCUUCAAAAAGGCAGAAGUGGGAGAGAAAGAUCUGUAAGAAAGGGUGAUGUUAGAUUUUUACAAUCUGAGUUGGGCCAAAAAUAGGAGGUCAGGAUUUGGAGAUGUGUGAUGAAAACGAGACCUGUGGUGAGAGCCUCCUAGCUCAAGAUCAAGAUAUUGCUACGACUACUGCAACAUAUAUCUUAAUAUUUCAGGUAUAUUUCUGAGUAGGUGAAAUAAUGACUCAUUUCUUUUUUGUCUUAGAAAAGAAGGAGCAAAAGUCACUAUUAAUUUAACUGCUUUUUUCCUAGACAGCUUGCAGUGCUUGGCAGCAAGGCAUAGUACAGCAAUAGACCUGGAAUCAUACCCUGACUCAGACCAUUUGUUGUAGUGAAGAAGAAUUGUGCAGAAUUGAACUGUGUGCAGCUCUUUCCUGUCUGCACCUCCUGGUAUUCCCUCUGUAAACAGAGGUGCCUACACGGCCUUGGAGGAAUUCAGUAGAGCAGAGAUGAGAAGAGAAAAAAGGUAAUUUUAAAUAUGUUUUGAUUUAAAUCUAGACUUUUGAGAAUACAACAGAAGGCUGUCACAGGAGCUGGGUACAGAUGUCUGCUAUAACCACUUAUCUCUUCCCUGGGGUUUGUUAUAUGAAGGUGGCCAGGCUGGAGGAGGAGAAGUGGGGAAGAGAAGGAGUGGAGGCCUCCCUGUAGGAAUUCUGGGGAGAAAGUCUCCUGGGUAAAUAGUGAUACACUUGCCAUAACAGAGGAGGAGGCUCUGAAAAGCUUUUAUUUCUUUUUUAAUUUUUGUUUGUUUGUUUGUUUGGCCAUGACACGCAGCAGUUUGAUGUGAGUUCUGAAUUCUCAGAUCAGAAACUGAACCCUGGCUGCAGCAGCGAAAGCAAUGAGUCCUAGCCACUAGACUGCCAGGGAACUCCCUGAAGAGAUUUUAAAGAGAUUUACUUGGACCUUCCCACAGAGAAUCUGGGGGGCUCUGGGAGUGACACCUAGAUGUGUGCAUGCAUUUAAAUGUCUCCCAGAUGGUUUUGACAUGCAACCAGUGUAAUGGAAAGCAUGAUGCCUGGCUGAGAGUAGGCACUCCAUAAAUGUUGGUCUUUCUUUCUACCCCCUCAUUACUUUCAUCAUUACCCAUGUGCCCUCAUCGAGUCAAAUCUAUACUUGACUUGCAAAAUGUCCACACUGGUUUCCAAAACUUUAAUUUUACCAGAUGAAAGUACUGCUUUUACUUUGUUAUCACUAUGACUGAAAGUGUUUACUAUGACUGAUGAGUUUACUCCUACUUUGAAAAUCAAGUCCUACAUCUCUAGAAUUUACUGUUUUCAACAAACUGAUGUCAAUAUGCCUGUGCUACCAUGACAAGCCCUUCAAGCUCUCUGUCUUAGGUGAAUAAAGCUACAUGAAUCUAAGU
rnacentral:lncRNA from 1 species